GCAACACCUGCGCGUGUCAGUUAGGAGCGAUAUCGUACGUUACAUCGACAAAACAAAGCACAGAUGAAUCCUGAUGGCUUCCACUUGAGUCUCUUCAAACUGUUUUCCUCUGAGAGCGCUGUACCAACAUCAGAUGUUCAACUACACUGAUAUUCUAUGGGUUGGAGCUGUCGUAGGAUGCCUUUGAUACGGGUCCGAAAAAUGCGGGGGAACGAGCGAGGAUUUCCUCACAAUUUAACUAACGGCAGAUUAAAGAAAAGAAAAGAAAAAUUAAAAAGUCAUAAGGGUUUGGAACAUCAUAAAGUGAGAGAGUCUCUCUGGAAUCAUUAGUGACUGCGGCUCCGGCGCCCUCUGCCCGUCUCCUCGCUGAUCUGUGUGUUAAUUAUAUAUCUCAGCGUGACGGAGACCUGGGCUUGUUGCAGCUCUAAUGAAGGCAAAGAUAUCAGCACCUUUAUAUGGAAGAAAAAUAACAGCAUACAAGUUUGGGAUGACAUGGAGUGCUUUCACCUCUUCAAACCUCCUGAAGCCCGGAGCCAGGAUGUGGGCUUCGCUGAUGGCAAACACUCGACAGCUCCAGCAUAAGCUACAGUCUGACAGAUUUGAAAAUAUCAGAAACAGACACGGAAGGAAAACAUUCUUCAUUUGAGAACAACAGAGGCUCAGAUGUCGGGAGUAACUGACGACUGCUAUAUUCAUUAUUACAUCCAACUACAAAACCUCAAUCACUUAAUCUGAGACAUCUUGUCUUCCCUGCACCGGAGGCGGACAGCUCUCAGCUCACUCAGG